UUUAUUGUAUCGAAAAGCAUCGAAAUCAUCCGGCAGAAGGAAAAAAAUAAAUAAAAGUUACAAAAAAUUUCAAAGUGGCGUUUGUAUAUCUAAUAUUAACUUCGCUCUUUUUUAUCUAAUUGCUGUUACGACAGUAUUAUUUCUUGCCUUUUCAUUUUGCCUUACUGUUGAUUCAGGCUUCUCUUGUACUAUAUGGAGAGUGAAUCACUUAAUAACAACUCUAAUAGUAAAAAUAUGGAUGGUGAUAAGUGGGGAGAUGUAAUUAAAAAAGAUCAAAAUGAUCGACGAUCUCGGUCUCCUCUUGAUAAAAAUAAGUCUAACCGCAGUAGAGAUUCUAGUAUGAACCGAAAUUCUCGGAGUCGUAACCGUUCAAGAUCACCUCGUUCUAGACGCACAAGAGCACCCACAAACCGGAGAAUAUAUGUGGCUAACAUACCUUAUGACUGCAAGUGGACAACUGUUAAAGAUUUAUUUAGGGAUAAAGUUGGCGAUGUUUCUUAUGUAGAGUUAUUUGAAGAUGAAAAUGGAAAGUUUAGAGGUUGUGGGAUUGUAGAGUUUAAAGAAGCUUCAUCUGUACAAAAAGCGGUGGACUUAUUACACAGGUACGAAUUCAAAGGACGCCAACUCGUUGUUAAAGAGGAUUUUGAUGUGGAUAGAGACAAAACUGGAAAACCGUUGGGCAGAAACCGCAGUAUUGGUGGAAGCAGUCUAGACAGAGAUAGAGAUGAUUAUCCGGGUAUUGCUGGACUUGGAAACAGCAGUGCUCCUCAGUACAAUACUUAUGGUUUAAGUCCACAAUUUUUAGAUGCUUUGGGAAUAUCUGGGCCACUGACUAACAGAGUUUUUGUGGCCAAUCUUGAUUAUAAAGUAUCCACCCAAAAAUUAGAAGAAGUUUUCAAAUUAGCUGGCAGAGUUGUGAAAAUCGACUUAAAGAGAGAUGAAGAUGGCAAUAGUAAAGGUCAUGGAACGAUUGAAAUGGGUCAUCCCGUAGAAGCUGUACAAGCAAUCUCUAUGUUCAAUGGUCAAAAAUUUUACAACAGAACGAUGAGUGUGAGAAUGGAUAAAAAGCACCAUGAUGAUGCUGAAGAUAAACGUUUACCUGAGGGUCUUCAAAGUGUUGGAAAAGGUCUUGGUGCAAAUGGGCUUCCCCUUCAUUUAUCAAAUACUUCUGCUUUGAACAAUUUAAGUUCAGCAGCUCUAGCUAAUGUAUCAGGCAUUGGAGGCGUCGGAGCCGGAUCCCUUGGUCUGAUGUCAAACCAGAUAGCUCCUGCUGUAGUUGGAGCUAAUGCCACUGGUAUCCCCGGAUUGGCUGGCAUCGGUAUGAGCCUGAACGAGCGCAGUUUCUCUGGAAUGGGAGCUGGUGUGGGUGUAGGACUUGGUGCCACUGGCUCUUCUGCUGUUGGUAGUGCCAGUCUUCUUUCUGGUGGUCUAGGUAGCCUUUCUAACUCAUCUGCUGGUCUUGGAAAUAGUGGCUUAGGAGGAGGACUGGGAGCUGGAUUAACUGGAGGACUUGGUGGUGCUGGAGGAUUGUCUCUUGGUGGAAGUGCUGUCGGCUCUGGUGGAUUGGGCUAUGGCGAUUACGACAGAGGUUAUGAUCGAGGAGAUGAUGGAUAUCGUACUGGACGAAGCUCUGAUACUCUUAUUGUGAGAAAUGGGAUAUACGGUACACGGAGAUGAAAGGUCGUGGAAAUGCUGUUAUUCGAUUUACAUCUGAACGUGAAGCACAACGUGCUAUUGAUUAUAUGCGUAAUCUUCGUAUUGAUGGUCGUCUAUUGGAUGUCUCAUUCUACUAAUUAUUCUUUUUCAUCUUUGACUGCAUUUUGGCACUUCAUUUUAACUUCUUUGACUAUUCAUUGACAACCUCCCCUAUUUCGAAACGAAAACCAUUGUCGAACUUUUGAUUUUUAGGAGAAGGACGGAGUUUUUUUUUUUCCAAAGUUUUUAAAUAUUGCAUCGACGUCGAACUUCCCCCCUUCAUUUUCAUUCUCGUGCAGUCUAUCAACAUUCUGAAAAUUUAAUCAAUAUUGUUUCUCUCGCUGAUGGACGAAAGCUUUUUUUGAAUCAACAUAUCAUUUUUGCUAAAUUCCCUAUAAACAUUGAUCUAUGGAUUCCCUUGUUAAAGACAUAUAGUUUUUCCAAUAUUUUUUGCCCUAGAAACAUCUAAACCGUAGUGUAAGUUUUGUUUGUAACUUGUGACUUAUAUUCGUUUAAUUAGCAUUCCAUAUGGAUAUUCAUUGUCUUUGUGCAAAAUCUGUAAAUCCAAAUUUGCUCCAUUGUGUUUAAUAAAAAAAUGUUUUUUCCUCUU
rnacentral:misc_RNA from 1 species